AAUAGAUACCCCGGUAGUCCACGCCGUAAACGAUGAGUGCUAAGUGUUAGAGGGUUUCCGCCCUUUAGUGCUGCAGCUAACGCAUUAAGCACUCCGCCUGGGGAGUACGGUCGCAAGACUGAAACUCAAAGGAAUUGACGGGGGCCCGCACAAGCGGUGGAGCAUGUGGUUUAAUUCGAAGCAACGCGAAGAACCUUACCAGGUCUUGACAUCCUCUGACAACUCUAGAGAUAGAGCGUUCCCCUUCGGGGGGACAGAGUGACAGGUGGUGCAUGGUUGUCGUCAGCUCGUGUCGUGAGAUGUUGGGUUAAGUCCCGCAACGAGCGCAACCCUUGAUCUUAGUUGCCAGCAUUUAGUUGGGCACUCUAAGGUGACUGCCGGUGACAAACCGGAGGAAGGUGGGGAUGACGUCAAAUCAUCAUGCCCCUUAUGACCUGGGCUACACACGUGCUACAAUGGAUGGUACAAAGGGCUGCAAGACCGCGAGGUCAAGCCAAUCCCAUAAAAACCCGAUUCUCAGUUCGGAUUGUAGG
rnacentral:rRNA from 1 species